AGAUCUACACUUUGCCAUACACGAGCCCCGCCGUCUUGCAUACGAAAAGCAUGGAAUGAUGGAAAAUGGCCUCGUCCGCGCGUCAUCCGUCGGUCUCCGUUCACAACGAGGCAAUGAUCGAAGGGAGCGAUCGGGGCCACUCGUAUUGCGACGUUAGAGGUG